rnacentral:lncRNA from 1 species
AAGUGAGGGUGGUGGGGUCUCACUGUGGAGACAGCCAAGUUUGAGGGUGGAUGAGAGCUGAAAGAAGGAGACCCAGUGGCUUGGGGAGGGUGAGGCAGGACGGGAAGGCACUGCGUUUGGUGGGAGAGAGGAUACCCCUCUGGGAGCGCAUGCGUGCCUGUCACGGGUGGGGGACCCAUCAAGGAAGGAAGGUCUUGCUGCAAAACAUAGCGUCCAGGGCAGGAGGAGGGUUCACCCACCCCUCCAGGUGGCUGAGGAACAAAUGCCAGCGGCACCUUUGCUUACGUUCCCCUGUUGCCCUUCGCGUUCAGAAGCAUGACCCUCCUUGCAUGCAGGAGGACAGGAGAAGGACAGGAGAACAAGGUAUAGGGAUGAAAUGUAAAGAUUGUAAAAUGCUGGGGCAGCUAACCCACUUGUACAAGCCCUGUGAAGGACGUGUGGGAUGGAAAGCCCUCAUACGUGAUGCUCAUCUGUGGCUAUGCAGCCACUGCUGGUCCCAUUUUGCACGCUCAUCAGUUCAGACAAGCAAAUAAAGCUUUCAUUUGUGCGCUCUAGUUUUAUAUAUGAGCUGCACAUGAAAAUUGCAUGAAAAACAUAUUUUUAGGCUAGAAGCGAGCCCCCUGUGUGGAUGAAAGGCAGUGUCACAUGAGCAGCAGGGACAGAGCUCAGCCCUUCCUGAUGAAAAGCUCCAUUGCUGUGCAGCUUGAGCUAAUGGGGUGGCAGAAUAGUUCCUGUUUCAGACAUGAAUCAUUGUGACACAGUACAGCAGAAGGCAGAGAUACUUGCAUGCACAUUGGCCAGCUCACUGCGCAGCGUCACAGGGAAGCUUCAUGAGAAGCCUUUUAGCAAGCCAGAGACCAUCCACUCUCGCCGCCAGCCCUUCAGCGCAGAGCAGCAGUGCAGGACUGAAAUGGCUGCCCAGCACCUGAACGGGCAGUAGAGUCAUUUGUCUUUACCGGCUGACUAAGCCUACUCCUCCCCUGCGAAGCAGAGCGCAGGGCUGUGGAAGACGGACCUUCCAAAACAUUCAAAUGUGGUUCCUUGGUAAGAUGAAUUUUUCAGGCCUGCAAUGUGGAAAGGUUUUCUGAAAACCCCCAAACCUGGCUGCUCCCAAAACCUGGCUGCCAAAACAGGAUAGAAUAUAUGAACCCAAGCAAAUCAGCUAGCCCCUGAGGCAGGGGUUAGAGGGGUGACCUCGGAGGAAACAUCUCCCAUCCAAAAUCGUAGCAGGAAAAAAAGGAAAGCAUUAGCUGGGAUGAAGGCGUAACUGCUAGAAACUAGCCCAAACGAGGAAAGUAAAAGAGAGCAGCACUACGCCACAGUGACGCAGCUGCAGCAGGGAGAACUGCUUAAAUUAAAUAUAAAACAGAGGGUGGAUGACAUUAGAAAUAAGGGCUGCUUGGAAAUGCUGAAGGAUGAAACUCAAUCUGGCAAAUAAAAAUUUAAUUACAAUGUUGAUAAACCUGAGC